UGGUAGGUCAAAUUGGCUGACAGGGCACGGUAAGCUGAUAAUCACCCUCCCUUGGAGAAAUUAUUGCACGUCUCCUCGAGGGCAGCACAGUUGAAACCGACUGCAUGUUCCAACCAUAUGAUUAAAAUUCGAGAUUUGCACACGAUCGAUUAAAUAUAAAUAUAGAAUGAAUUUAUGAAAAACCGAUGCUUGCGGCUUUGAUGUGGAAUAUGAAAAUAAUUUUUUAUCCUUUUGACUCCUGAAUUACGCUGGAGAUGUACUCGUUCAAUUCGAGAUCUUUUCUUUGGAGAAAAAAUUACGCUUAUUGCUCUUCGAACAUUUACUCGGUAAAAUAGAGAUCCUCACAAUCACAACAAGAGAGAGUUGCUAGGCCGAUCGUCCUCCUCACCCUAUUUUUUUAUAAAAAAAUAAAUUAUUAUAUGGACCUGGUCCAAAUGGACCAGGGGAUCUGCCGAAGCAUCUACACGGCGGAUAACGCACGGUCGGAAAUUGGUUGUGGCCAACAUUUCCCCACUGCACCACCUUUUUUUUACUUUUUCCACUAAACUUUUGGUGCAUACACAAGUCAGCGAAAAGUUCGAUGUAGAAAAGGUCUCCAUCAGCCAGCGCGUACGUUAUGGUCUCGGUAAAACUGUUAGCGCCACUAGAUUUUUGCACGUCGAAUCAUGGGGAACAUUUUUUUUCUUUUCUUAUGGUGAAAAAGAACUGUUCAGGUUUUUCAUAGAAAAAUAUUAGGGAAUAGAGCUUUACGUGUGACCGUAGAUGAUGGUGAUGGCUGUGAUCCUAUCUUGCGAGAUGCAUACAACUCAAUCAGAAGAGACAGUUGAUGACCCAUGGAUUAGACCUUUUUUUAUUCUUUAGACCGUUUGAUUUGAGCAGAAGGAAUAUUAAAUCCUCUCCUAUCCAUCAUUGCGGAACCCACAUGGUCUUUAUAACAUCAUAGAUCAUAGAACAACCAUCUAAAAAGCAUUACAAGGUAUACAUGAUUGGGGAGAUUUUUAAUGCGGAUAACUCCCAUCCAUGAUGUCAUUUGGAGGACAUCCAUAUCAUGAGGCGGAAGGUAAGAAGGUACAAAUCUUCAUUGAGGUUCUCCUGAAGCCUCCUUUGGGGUAAACCAAUAAAGGGUACUUAAGAAGAGGGGGGGGGGGUGGUGUUGUGGGGCUUUUCCAUUGCUCUUUUAUUACUAAAUAGGUCACCAAAAAAUGGCAAGAUGGAGUGGCCAGAUUCCAAUCAAAUCUGAACCAAGAUUUAGACCCAAUAAAAAGGGCUAUUUUGAGCUCCAACAAAAUUAUUAAGUUAGCAUUCAGGACCUGACCCAUGAAUAAAGUAACCUAUAUACGUAGAUUCACUUUGCAGAUACCCACACAUUUUUUUCUUUACUGGUACCAUUAUACCUGCUGAAGCUGCGCUUGGAAAUGGUAGGCUCACAGCUAAAUUAAAAAUGCCGAAAAGAUACUCACCUCAAGGUCAUAGAAGUGGUUGUCAUCAAGGAGUGUGAACUCUGCACCACCCAUGAAUUAUGGGUUAUUUAUUCAAUGAUAGCUGAGAUGAUUAGGGCCAAGAACUGCCAUCAGUGAGCUACUUGUUUGGGAACUAGGAGACUCCAGUCUUAGACUGACCUGAAGAACAGGCAGUUCACAUGAAGAUGGCUUGAAAGCCUAUCUGAAGAACAUGUAUAAGGUCGAAUGCAGCAGCAAACAGCAUCUUGGUUU
rnacentral:lncRNA from 1 species